rnacentral:rRNA from 1 species
UACGUAGGGGGGCUAGCGUUGUCCGGAAUCACUGGGCGUAAAGGGCGCGUAGGCGGUUCGUACAGUCAGACGUGAAAUCCUGGGCUCAACCUGGGGCUGCGUUUGAUACGUGCGGACUUGAGUGCGGAAGAGGGUCGUGGAAUUCCCAGUGUAGAGGUGAAAAUUCGUAGAUAUUGGGAAGAACGACCGGUGGCGAAGGCGGCGACCUGGUCCGAUACUGACGCUGAGGCGCGAAAGCGUGGGGAGCAAACAGG